AACUUGCUGUGUCGAGGCUUGAUUAGUGUGUAUGUGUGUCCUGUUGAGUAUGUGCGGUAUGUGUGUGAGUCGGUGGGGAGGGGGCGGCGAAGUGGCGGCUUCCGCUGCUGCUCGCCGGAAACAGAGGGAUGAGAUCAGAGGGAGACGGACUGGGCUGGGGUUGCAGAGGGCUGGACUGGAGGUCAGGCGCGGCGGUCGGCGGUAGUCCUCGCUGCUGUCGCCUGGAAUCGGAGCAAGGAGGUGUGAAGUCGGUGGUGUUGAGGCUAGGGCUCCGAUGACGGCUUUGCUGCUGUCAAUUGGAGCGAGAGAGGGGUGGGUCUUCGGAUCUGAGAACGAGGGAGGCGGCGGCGCCUCGCCGUCGCCAAGGAGGAAGGCGGAGCGGCGGCUUGUCGCUGCUGAAAUCGUCGGGGGUGCGAAAAGUGGGAGAGAAGCAGGAACAGUGGGGUGGGUAUCGUGAGGAGAGGGAGGCGGCGGCGUCUUCGCCGCAGCCGAGGAAGGAGGCGGCGCACGGGGUACCGUCGGGUUGAGUCACAGAACCGAGUGAGAGGUGGCCGGAGUUCGGAGAGGGAGGCUGGGGCGGAGGUUGCGGGUAGCAGAGAGAGAGAGAGAGAGAGAGGAAAUGAUUUUGGUGAAGAAGGAGAAGGGGAAAGUGUUUUGGACUGUUACGGUUGAGUUUAGACUGUUGGGCCAUCUUUAUUUAAUUUAAUUGGGCCUAUUGGUUGUUUAGCUGGGCCGAUUUUAAAUUGAGUACAUGGGGCUGCUUUUGUUUAAAGCUAGGCCCGGUUUUAAAUUAAAUUUGGGCUACCUUAUAUUUAAAGGUUGACUGCAUUUUUAGUUAAGAAAGGCUUGUUAAUGAAAUACUUUAAUUAGAUUAUAUAAAUAGUUUGAUUUAAUUAUUUUAAGGAUGAUGCAUAAUAAUUAUGUUAUUAUUAUGUGCAUAUUUUAAGUAAUUAUUCAUCACAUGCUAAGCAUGACAUGACAUUGCAUUUGCAUCAUGCAAUAAAAUUUCUUAUGAUUUAAAUUGGUUUUCAUUAAAUCCAAUUAUUAAAGAAAAUCGAGUAAGGAUAUUGUUGGUGUCCUUGACUCAAGAAUAUUAGUUUUCAAAUAUUUAUUAUUAAAUUUUGGAAACCCGGCGUGAUGAUUCAAGAAUGUUUAGUACAUCCACUAAGACUUUAAGUUAGUUUCACGAGACCUAUUAAGAAUAGAAUUUCUUGUAGGCUUUAUGAACCAAGGGGAUUAGCGCCGCUUUCCCAAGACGAGUUUAUGUGAUUAUGAUCUUCAGGCUUUGCCUAUCCAGGUGGGCUUACUUUCCAAAUGUAUAAAGUAUGAUUGAGUUAUUAAGCUCUAAAUGUUUUAAUGCAAUGCAAACUGUUUAUCCAAUAAAAUGUUUAUGUGCACUCUGCUCUGUUUAAUGCUCGCAAAGUUAAUCAAUUGAGGUUCUCUUAUGACCUAACACGUUGUCUGAGAAUCGUGUACACAUGCUAGUUGACCUGGUGGGUUGAUCUCCAUUGGGCACUAGCCAGAGGCGUUAUAAGGGUGCUCGACGGGAUGUGUUCCGGAGCAUGUAUCAUGUAAGGCCUGCCUGGGUAGCGUCCCGAGGUCAAUUCAACUUGUCUGAGUUACGUCCUCAGGGCAAGUGCAAUGGGAGAAAUGGAUCCGUCGGUGGCUAGAGGUCCGGGAUCACAGCGAGUAACAGAAAGGGAGUGUGACAUGUGCGCACAAAUGAAAAAUGUUUUAACAUGCUUAGAAGUUCUUUCAAUUUAAAACCUUCUAAGUCAUGUCAAGUAUAAUUGGAUAAACUGUCUUUACGAAAAUAUGAAAUGUUUAUGAAAAUGCAUGCCCACUGAGUACAUUAGUACUUAGCCCAAAAAUACUUUCAAAUGUUUUCAGGUUGGCUGGCCGGUGCUGACGGGACUGAGCUGAGGCUAAGGUUUAAAGUUCUAUAUAGACUUCCGCUGUAGUAAUAACUCUUAUACAUCUUUUGUUUUCUCAACUUAGGAUGACUUCAUGUCGAGCUUCAUUUUAAAAUUUCUAGUUUUAUAUGUUAAUGAACGUCGGUUGUCAGAAACAUGAAACAAAACUUGUGAUCCAAAGGGGCCUAGCCCGACUCGUUAUAUUAUUAUUCGGGUUUUAACAAGGUUGUUCCUUGUUUAUUUCUAUGAAUUAUUCACACCUCGAUCAUAUUUAUUCCUUCAAGAAUUGGGGUGUGACAGAAUGGUAUCAGAGCAUAAGUUUCCUUUCAUGACUCUGAUAACCAUAAGUUUUUUUCUAGACUUCUAAGAAUGUCAGUAAGCCUCAGCUCGCCGUCACACUGCCGCAACUAAGGUACGAUAAUAAUUUCAAAAAAAAAUUAUACAUAUAUAUAUAGAUUCGAAGUUAUGAAAGUUUUCAAGAAAAUGUGCGCCUUACGUUUAUGAUGCCAUGUGAAUGUUUUGUUUGGUCGUGUUUGGGACUACCCGAACCCAUAACGACUAAAUGAAUGUUAUUUCGUGUUUGGGACUGCCCGAGCCCUUAACGAUCAAUGUAUGUAUGGUCGAGUUAGAUCCCUUGAAUCUUUACCGGCAUAAGCUAAAAAUUUUCAUGGAAGGGGCAUUUAAUGUCCAUAUAACUCAAGGUUUUAAAGAAAGCAAAUGUAUGUAUGUAUGUAUGUAUGUAUGAAUGAAUGAAUGAAAGUGAAAGUUUUAUGUUAUCAUUUUAGGUUCACUGCCUAUAUGAUUAGAAUGAUGAGUUCUUUUAUAAACCGUUUUAGAGUAACCACCCAAUAAUGACCUUACGAAUGUUAGUCGUGAUAGCACCGCUAGAACGACAUAGAAUGGAUUUAUAUAAUACCAAAGUAUUUAUGAUUGGAGUACUUAGAAGUAAGUGCUUUAAGUUAGAAGUUGACUUAGAGUCUUUAUAAGAGAUAAGGAAUUGACAUGAGUUGGGGGCGAAGCUCCCUAUUUGACUGAGUGAUUCAUUGUGCUGGGUCUGGCCAGCCCACAUGACUAAGAUCUUGGUGAUUGUCAAUUAGAUUUUGACCUUGAGUAGAGCGCCAUCCCAAUGUAUAGACUCACACUAUAUAGUUGGCACAAUAAGAUCUUCUUUUACCACGAUAAGCACAGUAACGACUAGAAUGACUCAAUUUGUCAUUAGUUGUCAACCAUUAGAAAGAUACACUAGCAUCAACCUGUCUUAUGACCGUCAAUCGAUAGAAACAAAGCAACUUAUGGAAUCCCAAGCGGAGAACCGGAGCAGACAACGAGUAUGAUAGAGUUUUCAACAAAAUAUCAAGACGUGCUCCAAAUAUAGUGGACACUUAUGAGAAACGCGUAAAGAAAUUCGCAAACAAAUGGCGCCAUGAGAUAUUCAAUCCCCUAUCAAGCCAAAGAAAUAUUACGUAGGACAACCAACGAGCAAGACUCUCACCAUCGUCACCGCUACCAAGGAAGAAGGGAGCUCCGCACAACAUGAUUUACAUUACCUCAAGAAAGAAGUGGAGAGAAAGAAAAUGGAAUAAAGGAAACAAAAGGAANUGGGCCGAUUUUCUUUUAUUAAGCUGGGCCAUUGAUUAAAAUAAAUCAUGGGCGCCCAAAUUUUAUUUAAUUGGAAUCCUGCAAUUUUUUAAAGGAGCUACACUAUUAUAAUUAAUUAGUAUUUAUUAAGUUUAAUUAAUUAUUUCAAAGUAUUAUUUUUAUAAUAAUAUUAAAUUAUUAUUAUAAGCAUAUUCUAAGUAAUUUCUUAUUAUAUGCCAAGCAUGACAUGAUAUUGCAUUUAUUUUGCAAUAAGAGUAUUUAUGAUUUAAUUGGUUUUAUUUAUAAUUUCAAUUAUUUUAAGAAAGUUGAGUAAGAAUAUUGUUGGUGUUCUUAACUCAAGAGAAAUGUUUUCAAUUAUUUAUUCAUUAAAUUUUGAAAACCCGGCUAAGUGAAUCAUAGAAUGUUAAGCAUUACACCAUGACUUAAGAUCAAGGAGACCUAUUAAGAAUAGAAUUUCUUGUAGGCUUUGUGACCAGGGGGAUUAGCGCUGCUUUCCCAAGACAUGUUUUUAUGUGUAUGAUCUUCAGGCUUUGCCUAAUCAGGUGGGCUUACUUUCCAAAUGUACAAAGUAUGAUUGAGUUAUUAAGCUCUAAAUGUUUCAAUGAAAUGCAAAUUAUUUAUUCAAUGAAAUGAAAACUGUUUAUCCAAUAAAAUGUUUAUGUGCACUCUGCUCUGUUUAAGGCUCGCAAUUCAUGGAUCGAUCGAGGUUCUCUUAUGGCCUAACACGUUAUUUGAGAAUUGUGUACACUUGUUAGUUGUUUCGGUGGGUUGAUCUCCAUCGGGCACUAAUUCAUGUAAGAGGCGUUAUAAGGGUGCUUGGCUGGAUGUGUUCCGGAGCAUGUAUCAUGUAAGGCCUGCCUGGGUAGCGUCCCGAGGUCAAUUCAACUUGUCUGAGUUACGUCCUCAGGGCAAGUGCAAUGGGAGAAAUGGAUCCGUCGGUGGCUAAAAGGUCCGGGAUCACAGCGAGUAACAGAAAGGGAGUGUGACAUGUGCGCACAAAUGAAAGAAAUUAUUUUAACAUGCUUAGAAGUUAUUUCAAUUUAAAACCUUCUAAGUCAUGUCAAGUAUGAUUGGAUAAACUGUCUUUACGAAAAUAUGAAAUGUUUAUGAAAAUGCUUGCCCACUGAGUACAUUAGUACUUAGCCCAAAAAUACUUUCAAAUGUUUUCAGGUUGGCUGGCCGGUGCUGACGGGACGGAGCUGAGGCUAGGGUUCAAUUCCUAUGAUAGACUUCCGCUGUAGCAAUUACUCAUAUCAGUCUUUUGUUUUCCCAACUUAAGAUCUUCAUGUUAAAUUUCAAAUGAUAUAGCUGAUCGAGCUUAGACACUUCUCUAGUUUUAUGCUAAUGAAUGUCGGUUGUCAGAAGCAUGAAACAAAACUUGUGAUCCAAAGGGGCCUAGCCCGACUCUUCAUCCUAUUUUCGGGUUUUAACAAGGUUGUUCCUUGUUUAUUUCUAUGAAUUAUUUACACCUCGAUUAUAUUUAUUCAUUCAAGAAUUGGGGUGUGACAGAAUGGUAUCAGAGCAUGAGUUUUCUUUCAUGUCUCUGAUAACCAUAAGCUUUUGAUGUCGAGUCUAGAAUAGUAUCUCUAGACUUCUAAGAAUGUCAGUAGCCCUCAGCUCGCCGUCACACUGCCGCAACUAAGGUACGAUAAUAGUUUCAAAAAUAUACAUAUAUGUAUUUCAGAUGUUAUGAAAGUUUUCAAGAAAAUGUGCGCCUUAUGUUUAUGAUGCUAUGUGAAUGUAAAUUAUUUUCUGUUGUUUUUGGGACUCCGACCCAUACAACUAAGAUCAAUGUCGUGUUUGGGACUACCCGAGCCCUUAACGAAUCAAUGUAUGUAUGUAUGUAUGGUCGAGUUAGAUUCCUUGAAUCUUUCCGGCAUAAGCAAAGUUUUUCAUGAAAGGGACAUUUAAUGUCCAUAUGACUCAAAAUUUCAAAGAAAGCAAAUAUAUGUAUGUAUGUAUGUAUGAAUGAAUGAUGAGAAAGCUUUAUGUUAUCAUUUUAGGUUCACUGCCUAUAUGAUUAGAAUGAUGAGUUCUUUUACAAAUCGUUUGAGAACCACCCAAUAAUGCCUUACGAAUGUUAGUCGUGAUAGCUUGGCUAGAACAACAUAGAAUGGACUUUCAUGGUAUCAAUGACUUAUGAUGAAGUACUUAGUAGUAAGUGCUUUAAGUUAGAAGUUGACUUAGAGCUUUAUAUGAGAUAAGAAGUUGACAUGAUUGGGGGCGAAGCUCCCAUUUGACUGAGUGAUUCAUUGUGCUGGGUCUGGUCAGCCCAUAUAACUAAGAUCUCGGUGAUUGUCAAUUAGGAUUUUGACCUUGAGUAGGGCGUCAUCCCAAUGUAUAGACUCACACUAUGUAGUUGUCACAAUAAGAUCUUAUUUUACCACGAUAAGCACAGUAAUGACUAGAAUGACUUAGUUUGCUGUCAGUUCUCGAAGUACUAGAAGGUGAUAUUCUCACAGUUAGAAAGAUACACUAAGCAUCAACCUAUCUUUUGACCGAUAGUCGGUAGAAACAAAGCAACUUCUGGAAUCCCAAGUGGAGAACCGGCAGAUAACUAGUAUGAUAGAGUUUUCAACAAAAUGUCAGGACGUGCUCCAAAUUGGUGGACACUUAUGAGAAACGCGUGAAGGAGUUGCAAACGAAUGGCGCAUGAGAUAUUCAAUUCCCCUACAAGACAAAGAAAUAUUACGUAGGAGCAACCAACGAGCAAGACUCUCACCAUCGAAUCACUGCUACCAAGGAAGAAUGGGAAGACUCCGACACAAUCUGGAUAUACACCACCUCAAGAUGUGGUGAAGGAAAGAAGAUGGAAUGAAGAAAACAACAGAAACUUCAAGAAUAGAAAAAGGACUUUAGAAUAAGACUUAAGAUCCAACCCAGCCUCAGAGCCAACAACCUCAUGCUAGAAGGGUGAUUGUUUCGGCUAAAGUGUCAAAAGCUCCAUCAAUAGGAAUGUUCAAAGGAAGCAAAUACUUGUUUUAAACUGCAGAGAACUUGAACACUAUGUCUCAUUAGCCCCAAAGUUGAAUUACCUGACUUAUGACUUAAAACUCGUUGUGGUUGUGCACGUGUUGGAAAUUUGGAGACAUUAUCUCUACGGAGUUAAGUGUGAGGUCCUGGCAGAUUACAAGAAUUUGAAGUACUUUUUCGAGCAAAGGGAUUUGAAUGUAAGACAACAGAGACGACUCGAACUAGUGAAGAAUUAUGAUGGUACCAUCAAUUGGAAAUUAAGAUAAGAUGUCUCGCCACUAAAUAUGAAGUACUGAUUGGUGAUUGCCUUAUUCAGUUUAGUAAUUGUUCACCAUCCGGAGACAAUAUCAAGCUGUGUAGUUGCAUCAAUAGUUAAGUGUGAAUUGCGAGAGAGGAUUAUGAAAGUACGAAAUGAAAAUAGAUAUUGGCGAGAAAAUGUGUCUCGCUUCAAGAAUAAGAAAAACAAAAGGAUUCACGAAAGUCAGGAAUAAUGCACUAAUGGUUAGUGGAGGAUUGUGGAUGUAUACACUAAGUAUUACGUCUCGCAGUUAAGAAGGUAUGUGAUUAAGAAAGAUGAGAUAGUCCAAGCUUAGGGCUUAAGUUAUGAAGAGAAAUCAGUUUAGUGACUAGAUUGCAAGGUUCAAGUUUUACGAACAAUGAAGUUGUUCUCGUCAUGUAGUGGAACCAUCAUGAUGAAAAAGGCCACAAAAGAGAUGAAUGAAACAAAUGACUAGUAUCACAAGCUAGAAUACCAGAUAAGCAAUUCCGAGGACGGAAUUUUUAUAAGGUGGGAGGGAUGUAAUACCCCGUUUCCCCGAGCUAAGUUUAGAAUAAUUUUGAACUUAGAAAGUAAGAUGAUUCACGUCGGAUAAAAGAAAAUGAAUUUAUUUUAAAUUCCAACAAACGAUUUGCAAAUCCUUUUGUAAAUUUUAGUCAUUUAAAUUCUUAUGCAUUACAUAUUUAUUUAAAUUGAAUAUUUGAGCAUUAAGCAUUUAUAUGAACUAUAUAUUUAGAGAACCCUGAAGAAUUAUUUUAGUUCCGAUAAUUCAAGUGAAGUUUUUAAUUGUCAAGUCUAUCCUUCAAUCUCCCACACUCUACACACUCAUAGCUAGGCUGCAAUUGGCAGCAGCCAUACUCUUUCCUUCGACUCCCCCUCACUCAAAGUACACAAGGACAACUUUAAUCAAAUUUAGGCCAUGCCUGCAAUCAAAUCCGCCCCCAACUCCUUUACUGAUUCAAAGCUAUACUACUCCAAUGUUUCACUCAUUCCACACAUAAGUUUCACAAGAGAAGAAAAUCAAACCAGCCACAUUCUAGAUAUUCAGCAGCUGCACAAAAGCUUUCACCCGACAGACAAAUUCAGCAGAAUCCCUUUCAAAAAGGUUAAACCUCUAAACUCCUGUAAAUUAUGCCACUUUCUCGAGUUUCAGUUGAGCCAAAACAAAGAACCCAAGCAUACAUUCAUUAUCAUUCCAGUAAAGAAAAAGAGACACAUUCAUAGCAUCAUUUCAACAUAUAUAUUUGUAUAUGCAAAUGAACAGAGUCUAUAUAUUUUACAUGAAAUAUGAUUAUUAUUUUUUGUAAAUGAUAAAAGAAGAGUCUUGAAGCUUAACUUUUGAACUUGCUUGUCGAGGCUUGAUUGGUGUGUAUGUGUGUCCUGUUGAGUAUGUGCGGUAUGUGUGUGAGUCGGUGGGGGCGGCGAAGUGGCGCUUCCGCUGCUGUCGCCGGAAACAGAGGGAUGAGAUAGAGGGAGACGGACUGGGCUGGGGUUGCAGAGGGCUGGCUGGAGGUCAGGCGCGGCGGUCGGCGGCGCCUCGCUGCUGUCGCCUGGAAUCGGAGCAAGGAGGUGUGAAGUCGGUGGUGUUGAGGCUAGGGCUCCGACGACGGCUUUGCUGCUGUCAAUCGGAGCGAGAGAGGGGUGGGUUUCGGAUCUGAGAACGAGGGAGGCGGCGGCGCCUCGCCGUCG
rnacentral:lncRNA from 1 species